ACCUGCUUGGAUCCUUUUCCACGCUGUGGAAGCUUUGUUGUUUUGCACUUUGCAAUAACUCUUGCUGCUGCUCAUUCUUUGGGUCCACACUGCCUUUAUGAGCUGUAACGCUCACCGCAGAGGUCUACAGCAUCACUCUUGAAGCCAGUGAAACAACGAACCCACCGGGAGAAACGAACAACUCUAGACUCACCGCCUCCAGAGCUGUAACACUCACCUCGAAGGUCUGCAGCUUCGCUCCCGAGCCAGUGAAACCAGGAACCCACCAGAAGGAAGAAGCUCUGAACACAUCCAAACGUCAGAAGGAACAAACUCCGGACACGCAGCCUUUAAGAACUGUAACACUCACCGCGAGGGUCCGUGGCUUCAUUCUUGAAGUCAGUGAGACGAAAAACCCACCAAUUCCGGUAGGAGUAGGGAAUCACAUCACCUUCUUUUAAUCAGUCUCAAAUACCUGGCCCGUUGUGGAACCUGCAAGAGCCAGGUUUGGCGAAUGAAAUGAUAAGCAGUUGUAAUCACUGCCUUGAAAAAGAGCAGAGCAUUUGAGUAUGCUGUCUCCUCCUCUCCCUCACUUCAGUUGGGCCCAACAUGACAGUCUUAAUGGAAGCUCGGGGGUCAAAGGCUGGUGGCUUACUUCAUGUAUAUUGCAGCAUUUCAGUACUGCUCUGCACGUGUGCUCCCCCGCCUGAUGAGAUAAGUGUUAAACAGGGAUGAUCACAGCUUCAAGUAAGCAAUGGGAAUUGGAUGUUUUAUGUCCUCUGGCGCCAUCUUCAGCAGAGAAAUAUAUAGGUCACUUUUACUUGUCUGGUCUUGGUCGUGAAAUCUGUACUGAAACUUGUGAAGGAGCAGACCUAUAUUAGGAUAGAGUAAAAGAUGGAAAGACAAAAACCUUUUGGGCUUUUCAGGAGACUUGGUUCAUUCUCUGCUUUUGAAGCCGUCUCAUGGCCACAUUCCUGCUUUGGAGGCUGACUCGGAGGCACAACCAGCCUCAGGGCGUUCCUCAGGGACCCUACCUUUCUUGCUCCCUGAAGAAAUGUGCACAUUGCUUGAAUAAAAACAAUCAAAGAACACUCAGUCAAGAUCGUCUGCUGCAGUCUUCGUUGAGGGCUGGGGAUGCUAAAAGUCAGAUGAUUCAUGUGUACCCUGUCCAUCCUAACUCACCUGCUUUUCUACUUCCGCAGCUUACUCCAGUGCCCACAGAUACGACAGAGUACCCAAGUGCCCCUCACACUCUAUUAGCUGCAUCCUUAACCUCUUUUUGCCACACCAUAAGCAUUGGGGUUUUUUUGUUUGUUUGUUUGUUUUGAGAUGGAGUCUUGCUCUGUUGCCAGGCUGGAGUGCAAUGGCGUGAUCUCAGCUCACUGCAAUAUCUGCCUCCAGGGUUCAAGCGAUUCCCCUGCCUCAGCCUCCUGUAUUAGCUGGGACUACAGGCACACACCACCACGCCCAGCUAAUUUUUUUGUAUUUUAGUAGAGACGGUUUCACGAUGUUGGCCAGGAUGAUCUCGAUCUCCUGACCUCGUGAUCUGCUCGCCUCGGCCUUCCAAAGUGCUGGGAUUACAGGCAUGAGCCACGGCGCCUGGCCAGCAUUGGGGUAUUUUAUUGAAGAUGGAAGCCAUGAAUGUUGAGAAAGCCUCAGCAGAUGAGAACUUGCCAGAGGUGAUCUCUAACAUCAAGGAGACUCUGAAGAUAGUGUCCAGGACACCAGUUAACAUCACUAUGGCGGGGGACUCUGGCAAUGGGAUGUCCACCUUCAUCAGUGCCCUUCGAAACACAGGACAUGAGGGUAAGGCCUCACCUCCUACUGGGCUAGUAAAAGCUACCCAAAAAUGUGCCUCCUAUUUCUCUUCCCACUUUGCAAAUGUGGUGUUGUGGGACCUGCCUGGCACUGGGUUUGCCACCAAAACCCUGGAGAACUACCUGAUGGAAAUGCAGUUCAACCGGUAUGACUUCAUCAUGGUUGCAUCUGCACAAUUCGGCAUGAAUCAUGUGAUGCUUGCCAAAACCGCUGAGGACAUGGGAAAGAAGUUCUACAUUGUCUGGACCAAGCUGGACAUGGACCUCAGCACAGGUGCCCUCCCAGAAGUGCAGCUACUGCAGAUCAGAGAAAAUGUCCUGGAAAAUCUCCAGAAGGAGCGGAGCUCUAGAAACCAACAAGUGUACCCAAACCACAGCCACGUACCUCUUGCUUGCUGAAAGGAUCCUGAGAGAAAAGCAAGACAAAGAAAUACAGAUCAGCUCUGCAAGCCCUAGAAAUAGCAAGGCCCAGCUCAGCUGGCCUGCCGUGAGAAAUACCUCAAGAGUACUCCAGAGAAUUCCACAAGGCCCAGAAAUAUUCCUUCCAGAAGAAAACUAUACGUAAAUCUGCUCAGGAUAUUCAACAGCUAGCCAGUGCAUGAGACAUAUACUGGGUACUUAAGAAAUGUUUGUUAAAAAGAAAUGAAUAAUGAUUAUAAAGAAAAAAUAAAUUAAAACUCAUGUUUAGUU